UCUCCUUAAUUCGGGGUCCUACGUGACAUCUCUAAUAAUUCACCAUUCAAAAUCCCUGCAAUUCUAGAGCCUCUAGCUCAAUUCUCUAUCGCUGACGUGGCAAUAUAAUUUCAAAUAAGUUAGGUUAUUUAUAUUAUUUAAUUAAGUUAUUUUAUUUAUUAUAUCAUCACAAUUAAACAUUCUAAUCAUUCGACCUUCUCCACCAGAUUUCCCUUCUCCUCUCCUCCAUCAAAUUUCCACCGCCGCCACCUGCCACAAUUCCUUGCAACUCUCACUGCCAAGCCACCUUCGUCGCGCCGGCCACCACCGAGAUAUGUCACCUCUCUUUUCCCCGCCAGCCCUCCGAUAUGCCGACUCCCCAAAAUUGAUUUGGGGAAAAUCAGAAAUCGCCGACCGUCGCCACCUGCCACAAUUCCCUGCAACUCUCACUGCCAAGCCGCCUUCGUCGCGCCGGCCACCACCGAGAUAUAUCACCUCUCUUUUCCUUCACCAUGAUUCACCCGCAAGCCCUCCGAUCUGCCGACUCCCCAAAAUUGAUUUGGGGAAAAUCAGAAAUCGCCGGCCGCCGCCACCUGCCACCUCCAUCUAAUUCCCUCCAUUUCGCUUCUCCACACAGGACUUUUCCCCCACCCCCGCCGUGAUUCUAUGAUAUUUGGCGUCUCCAGACCAGACUCCCCUUCCUCCCGCUGUAUUUCGCCGCAGUCCGGCCUCAAGUCAGCAUUGUCGCCCCUCUAACCUUUCUGCCGCAUCUCGACGUCAGACUCCCCCCUCCUCCGCCCACGAUUCGUAGCACUCCGGCCCCAAGUCGGCGCUAUCCAGCGCCAAUGGCUGCCCGGCCGCAUGCAUCUAAGCGCCGUCGACCACCGUAUUGACCCCUUCCUCUAACAUGGAAUUGUGAUUGUGCAAGCGAAGAAUUUCACUUUCGAAAUCUCUUUUUCCAAAAUUGCCAAAAUCCGUAUUUCAGGUAUCCAUUUUAAAUGAGGCUAAUAAAGGUCCAGUUUAUUUGUUGUCUUUCUUAUUCUUUUGCUGCGUUUGUUGUUCUUCUUUAUCUUCACUAAUAGAAAAGAUUAAUAUUAUUAUCUGCCCCAAGCAAUGGUAAUCUCUUCCCUUCUCCAAGUCACUCUAUAUUUCCAUUCUUAGUGUUAUAAAUAUUGGUCAAAUAUGAAAAGGUUCCACCUUUAUUGAUCACGCUUAUUGUGUGAUUUUUUUGUUGGAUUGUAAAUGACAUUGGUCCUUGAUUUAGUGAACUUUUAAUUCAAUUAAUGGGUGUUGUGGUGUUAACUGGUCACUCAUUUCUAUUUGUGAUUUUUCGUUUGUGUUUUUGUUUAUUAGUUGAGGUUUAGUAGACUGCAUUUCUUGGAUGGAUAAUUUAUGUGUUGUUUUUUGAAUUCAUAAGUUGAAAUUGAAAAUGUUUGGAAAUUAAUUAGUACACUAUGUGCGGUAUUGCUCAAUAUAUUGUUGUUCGAUUACUUUUGAAGUUCCUUUGCAUGGGAUUUGGAUUUUUUGAGUAAAAGAGUAGCUCUUUUGAUUUGUUCUAUUUCCACGAGGGUUACAAAAGAUGAGGGAAAGAAGAGGAAUUAAGUGAACAUUUACAUUUUAGCUAAAGAUCUGCCUUGCCAUCCAAAUUAUGUGCAUUAUACACUACGUUGCUUUAACUUUUCUUUAUGACACUAUUAUUGAUUGUUUUGUCAUGUCGACGCCGAGAAGCAACAGCUCCCCUACCUCUCAAGUCUCGACGGGUAUCCGACGGGUAGCGGGUGACGAGUAUCCGACGGCCGACGGGUAACGGGUACCCGCGGGUCGCGGGUAUGGGUGGCAAAUAGUAGUGUACAAGAAGUUGAAAUUUUCUUUAAAAUUUGCUGCAGUUUCGUGGGAAUUUAUUUGUUGGGUGAUUUAUUGCAUUUGUUGGGUGGUUGAUUGUAGGAUGUCGACGCCGAGAAGCAGCAACGCUCCUACCUCUCAAGCCUCAGCGGGUAUCCGACGGGUAGUGGGUGGGGGUAUCCGACGGAUAGCGAUUAGCGGCUGACCUCUUUAAUUUAUUUUUUCAUUUUAGUUUGAUAUGUAAUGUAGACUUAUGUCAUGUUCACACUUAUUUUAUUGAAUAAUAUUCAUCAUUUAUAAAUA